AUUGAACGCUGGCGGUAUGCUUAACACAUGCAAGUCGAACGAUGAGAAAGAGCUUGCUCUUUCGAUUAGUGGCGGACGGGUGCGUAACGCGUAGGAAUCUACCUAUUAGUGGGGGACAACUUAGGGAAACUUAAGCUAAUACCGCAUACGCCCUACGGGGGAAAGAAGGGGAUCGCAAGACCUUUUGCUAAUAGAUGAGCCUGCGUAGGAUUAGCUAGUUGGUGGGGGAAAAGCUGACCAAGGCGACGAUCCUUAACUGGUUUGAGCGGAUGAUCAGCAACACUGGAACUGAGACACGGUCAAGACUCCUACGGGAGGCAGCAGUGGGGAAUAUUGGACAAUUGGCGAAGGCCUGAUCCAGCAAUACCGCGUGUGUGAAGAAGGCCUUAGGGUUGUAAAGCACUUUCAAUUGGAAGGAAAACCUCGAAGCUAUACCUUCGAGUUUGACAUUACCUUUAGAAGAAGCACCGGCUAACUCCGUGCCAGCCGCCGCAGUAAGAC
rnacentral:rRNA from 1 species